AUUGAACGCUGGCGGCAGGCCUAACACAUGCAAGUCGAGCGGAUGACGGGAGCUUGCUCCUCGAUUCAGCGGCGGACGGGUGAGUAAUACCUAGGAAUCUGCCUGGUAGUGGGGGACAACGUUUCGAAAGGAACGCUAAUACCGCAUACGUCCUACGGGAGAGAGCAGGGGACCUUCGGGCCUUGCGCUAUCAGAUGAGCCUAGGUCGGAUUAGCUUGUUGGUGAGGUAAUGGCUCACCAAGGCGACGAUCCGUAACUGGUCUGAGAGGAUGAUCAGUCACACUGGAACUGAGACACGGUCCAGACUCCUACGGGAGGCAGCAGUGGGGAAUAUUGGACAAUGGGCGAAAGCCUGAUCCAGCCAUGCCGCGUGUGUGAAGAAGGUCUUCGGAUUGUAAAGCACUUUAAGUUGGGAGGAAGGGUUGUAGAUUAAUACUCUGCAAUUUUGACGUUACCGACAGAAUAAGCACCGGCUAACUCUGUGCCAGCAGCCGCCGUAACAC
rnacentral:rRNA from 1 species